GUAGGUGGCAAGCGUUGUCCGGAAUUAUUGGGCGUAAAGCGCGCGCAGGCGGUCCUUUAAGUCUGAUGUGAAAGCCCACGGCUCAACCGUGGAGGGUCAUUGGAAACUGGGGGACUUGAGUACAGAAGAGGAAAGCGGAAUUCCAAGUGUAGCGGUGGAAUGCGUAGAGAUUUGGAGGAACACCAGUGGCGAAGGCGGCUUUCUGGUCUGUAACUGACGCUGAGGCGCGAAAGCGUGGGGAGCAAACAGGGAUUAGAUACCCUGGUAGUCCACGCCGUAAACGAUGAGUGCUAAGUGUUAGGGGGGUUUCCCGCCCCCUUAGUGCUGCAGCUAACGCAUUAAGCACUCCGCCUGGGGAGUACGGCCCGCAAGGCUG
rnacentral:rRNA from 1 species